rnacentral:lncRNA from 1 species
AAAAAAUAUCCAUAAAAAAGUAGACAUGAUGAUAAACAUUCCACAAAAAACUGCAUGUUAUUUGGAUUAAUAUUUUUUGAGUUAUCAUUUUUUUAAUGUGAAAGAAAAAUAAAAAAAUGCAUGAACAAGUGUGGAUGAACAUGUGAAGGUAAGGUGAAAAAAUGCAAAAGCAAAAUGAAGAAAUGAUGGGAGCCAGAAUCGAAGUGUGUGUGUGUUUGAAAACUGGCGCGUUCAAUGAUGAAACGC